AGUGAACGCUGGCGGUAGGCCUAACACAUGCAAGUCGAACGGCAGCACAGUAAGAGCUUGCUCUUACGGGUGGCGAGUGGCGGACGGGUGAGGAAUACAUCGGAAUCUACUUUUUCGUGGGGGAUAACGUAGGGAAACUUACGCUAAUACCGCAUACGACCUACGGGUGAAAGCAGGGGAUCUUCGGACCUUGCGCGAUUGAAUGAGCCGAUGUCGGAUUAGCUAGUUGGCGGGGUAAAGGCCCACCAAGGCGACGAUCCGUAGCUGGUCUGAGAGGAUGAUCAGCCACACUGGAACUGAGACACGGUCCAGACUCCUACGGGAGGCAGCAGUGGGGAAUAUUGGUCAAUGGGCGCAAGCCUGAUCCAGCCAUACCGCGUGGGUGAAGAAGGCCUUCGGGUUGUAAAGCCCUUUUGUUGGGAAAGAAAAGCAGCAGGUUAAUACCCCGCUGCUCUGACGGUACCCAAAGAAUAAGCACCGGCUAACUUCGUG
rnacentral:rRNA from 1 species